rnacentral:rRNA from 1 species
GUGCCAGCAGCCGCGGUAAUACGUAGGGUGCGAGCGUUGUCCGGAAUUAUUGGGCGUAAAGAGCUCGUAGGCGGUGUGUCACGUCGGUCGUGAAAACCUGGGGCUUAACUCUGGGCUUGCGGUCGAUACGGGCAUCACUGGAGUUCGGCAGGGGAGACUGGAAUUCCUGGUGUAGCGGUGAAAUGCGCAGAUAUCAGGAGGAACACCGGUGGCGAAGGCGGGUCUCUGGGCCGAUACUGACGCUGAGGAGCGAAAGCGUGGGGAGCGAACAGGAUUAGAUACCCUGGUAGUCC